rnacentral:lncRNA from 10 species
AGGGGGCACGCGGCGUCUCUCUGGUUCUCUCCCCCGGUCUCCUUCUGUCUUCGAAACUUGCCUGACCUCCCUCUGGUUGUCUCCUGCCCCGCCCUCUGUCUCUGUCUCCCCAUCUCUGUUGCUGUCUCUGUGUCCCCUGGGACCUUGAAAGUGGGUAUUGGGGCCCCGGGAAGGGACUUUGGCCGGACUCGGGCCCCACCCGAGUGGAUCGUUAACCCAGGAUGUGAGAAGUGGCUGUGUGGAGAGGCCUCACCCCUUCCCUUCCUUUCGACCUCUCUCUGGAUCUCCCUUAUCCCCCUUCAUGGCGAAACAUCCCGAGCACAGACCUGUGUUAAUUCCACCUCCACCCCUUGCUCCCGGUGGGACCUCAGACAAGCCAUCCCCUGCCUUGAGACUCAGUUUGUUCUUCUGGAAAAUGGGACCAAUGGCAACCCCUGCCUGCUGGUGUUGUGGGGGCCACAGCAAGGGAAGAGGGGAGGAAUUCGGUUGGACAGGCUGGGGGCUGUGUUCCCUGCCCAUCCAACCCCACCCCUGGGGACCCUCAGACACAGGAGAGGGGUGUGGAGCACUAUCCCAAUGCACAGAAAGGAAAGCUGAGGUUUGGAGGGGCGAGGCUUAGGGUGGGGACCCUCAGAGGUAGGGUGGGAAGGACACCCAAGCCUGUCCCACUCCUGGCAUCCCAGGGCAGCUGGUGCAGUGGUUCCAACCUAGCAGGACUGUAGAGGGGAGAAGAUGUGAUGGGUCCGGUGGGAGCUUCGAAGGGCUGGGAGAGACGGUGCUGCUGGAAGAGAGGGUGCUGAUGGUUCUCUGAGGUUGGAAGAGGGAUAAAAGGGUCAGAAGGAGGAGGAUCUGAAGAAGGAAGAUAGGUCUGAGAGAGAAGUAGAUGGUUUAGUGGGAGGAGGGGGAGAGGAUCUGAAGGAGGAGGACAGGGUCUGUUGGAGGAGGUAAGGGUCUGAUGGAGGAAAUAAGGGUCUGAGGGUGGAGGCGAGGUUUGGAGGGAGGAGGUGAAGGUCUGAGGGAGGAGACAAGGGUCUGAAGGAGGAGAUAAGAGUCUGAGGAAGGAGGCGAGGGUUUGAGAGAGGAGGUGAGGGUCUGAAGGAGGAGGUGGGGGUCUGAGGGAGGAGGUGAGAGUCUGAAGGAGGAGAUAAGCAUGUGAGGAAGGAGGUGAGGGUCUGAAGGAGGAAGUGAGGGUCUGAGUGAGGAGGUGAGGGUCUGAGGGGAGGGGAGAGUAUCUGAGGGAGAGGGCACAGUCUGAGGAAGUCUGAGAAGCACUAAGUGAGGGGACGCAGCUCUGAGGGAGGAGGAGAGAGUUGGAGGGGAAAGAAGGGUCUGAGGAAAGAAGAUUUGGAGAGAGUCUGAGGGUAGAGGCCAGAUCUGAGGGAGAAGAAAGAGGCUCAGGGGAAAAGAUCUGAGGGUCCGAGGGUGGAAGGCAUGGACUAGGGGAGGAGGAGCUGGUGGGGUGGAGGGGUGGAGAGGCGUGCCUCCGGAGCCAGCAGGGACCAAGGGGAGGGAAGGGAAGGGAGGCUGGGAGGCAGCCCCGCCCUGCAGCUGUCUCUAAUUUCCCAGAAUCUUCUGCUCUCAGGAAAGUCCCAGCUCCCACAGCAGCCUCCCUCCAAUGUCGGGAACGGAGGAUGCGGAACCAGGAUGGCCACCCCCACCCUCCCCCGGCUCCUUGCACCCCAGGCGGAAAGGACUAGGGUCUCCUUUCUCUGGGCCUUGGCCUCUGGAGGGCCCCCACCCGCAGGGGCAGCCCCUGGAUGAGUCUUAGAAACUUCCCAGAGGAGGCCAGGAAGUUCUGCUUGGUGUCUAACCACUUUCCCCUCAUGCAGGCCGCCCUUUGUACCUGUUCAGAUCUCCUCCCCAGCUGCUGUUUCUUUUUCCCCAACCCAUCCUGGGGGAGGAAAGGCCAGGAAUUUACCUGCUCAAAGUCCUGAGAGGGAAACGAAAUUCCAUCUGGAAGUCUGUAGGCUUGAGGCAGCUUUCUUGCUCUCAGGGGCCUCAAUUUCCCUUUCUAAGAGGAGAGAGUAGGGCUGGUCAGGGCCUAAGUUCCCAUCUGGCUCAAUUACUGGGUCUUGUCCUGCUUUUUUUUUGAGACAAGAUCUGGCUCUGUCUCCCAGGCUGAAGUGCAGUGGUGAGAUCAUAGCUCACUGUAGCCUUGAACUCCUGGACUCAAAUGAUCCUCCUGCCUCAACCUCCCAAGUAGGUGGGACUACAGGCAUGUGCCGCAAUGACUGGCUAAUAAAAAAAACAAUUUGUAGACUCAGGGGGUCUCACUGUGUUGCCCAGGGUGUUCUCGAACUCCUGGGCUCAAGCGAACCUCCCUCCUCGGUCUCCCAAAGUGCUGGGAUUACAGGCGUGAGCCACCGCAUCUGGCUU